rnacentral:rRNA from 1 species
CCUACGGGAGGCAGCAGUGGGGAAUAUUGCACAAUGGGGGAAACCCUGAUGCAGCGAUGCCGCGUGGAGGAAGAAGGUUUUCGGAUUGUAAACUCCUUUUAUCAGGGACGUUAAUGACGGUACCUGAAGAAAAUGCUCCGGCUAACUACGUGCCAGCAGCCGCGGUAAGACGUAGGGAGCGGGCGUUGUCCGGAAUUACUGGGUGUAAAGGGAGCGUAGGCGGGACGGCAAGUCAGAUGUGAAAACUGAGGGCUCAACCUUCAGAGUGCAUUUGAAACUGAUGUUCUUGAGUUAAGUAGAGGUAGGCGGAAUUCGUGGUGUAGCGGUGAAAUGCGUAGAUAUUAGGAGGAACAUCGGUGGCGAAGGCGGCUUACUGAGCUGUUACUGACGCUGAGGCUCGAAAGCGUGGGGAGCAAACAGGAUUAGAUACCCUUGUAGUC